rnacentral:rRNA from 1 species
AGAUAUGAUCCAGAGUACCACGGGACACGUGAAACCCUGUGGGAAGCAGGAGGGACCACCCUCCAAGGCUAAAUACUACCUAGUGACCGAUAGCGUAUAGUACCGUGAGGGAAAGGUGAAAAGAACCCCGGGAGGGGAGUGAAAUAGAACCUGAAACCCUGCACUUACAAGCUGUGGAAGCACAUUUCUUGUGUGACCGCGUACUUUUUGUAGAACGGGCCAACGAGUUACGUUAAGUAGCAAGGUUAAGCACUUAAGGUGCGGAGCCGUAGCGAAAGCGAGUUUUAACUGAGCGUUCAGUUACUUGACGUAGACCCGAAACCGGGCGACCUACCCAUGAGCAGGAUGAAGCGAAAGUAAAAUUUCGUGGAGGUCCGAACCCACGAGCGUUGAAAAGCUCGGGGAUGACUUGUGGGUAGCGGUGAAAUUCCAAUCGAGCCCGGAGAUAGCUGGUUCUCCCCGAAAUAGCUUUAGGGCUAGCCUCAAGGUGAGAGAUACGGAGGUAGAGCACUGAAUGUCCUAGGGGGUAUUGCACCUACCGAAGACUAUCAAACUCCGAAUGCCGUCAUCUUAUACUUGGGAGUCAGACUGUGGGUGAUAAGAUUCAUAGUCGAAAGGGCAACAGCCCAGAUCGUCAGCUAAGGUCCCUAAAUGUAAGUUAAGUGGUAAAGGAUGUGGGAUUGCACAGACAACCAGGAUGUUGGCUUAGAAGCAGCCACUCAUUCAAAGAGUGCGUAAUAGCUCACUGGUCGAGUGAUCCUGCGCCGAAGAUUUCCGGGGCUAAAACUUACUACCGAAGCUACGGCAUCAGUAAUGAUGGGUAGGGGAGCUUCCCAUACGGGUUGAAGCAUGACCGUAAGGACAUGUGGACAGUAUGGGAGUGAGAAUGUUGGCAUGAGUAGCGAGAUGUGGGUGAGAAUCCCACAGGCCGUAAACCCAAGGUUUCCAGGGGAAGGUUCGUCCGCCCUGGGUUAGUCGGGACCUAAGCUGAGGCCGAAAGGCGUAGGUGAUGGACAACAGGUUGAUAUUCCUGUACUACCGAUAACC